rnacentral:rRNA from 1 species
GACGAACGCUGGCGGCGUGCCUAAUACAUGCAAGUAGAACGCUGAAGAGAGGAGCUUGCUCUUCUUGGAUGAGUUGCGAACGGGUGAGUAACGCGUAGGUAACCUGCCUUGUAGCGGGGGAUAACUAUUGGAAACGAUAGCUAAUACCGCAUAACAAUGGAUGACACAUGUCAUUUAUUUGAAAGGGGCAAUUGCUCCACUACAAGAUGGACCUGCGUUGUAUUAGCUAGUAGGUGAGGUAACGGCUCACCUAGGCGACGAUACAUAGCCGACCUGAGAGGGUGAUCGGCCACACUGGGACUGAGACACGGCCCAGACUCCUACGGGAGGCAGCAGUAGGGAAUCUUCGGCAAUGGGGGCAACCCUGACCGAGCAACGCCGCGUGAGUGAAGAAGGUUUUCGGAUCGUAAAGCUCUGUUGUAAGUCAAGAACGAGUGUGAGAGUAGAAAGUUCACACUGUGACGGUAGCUUACCAGAAAGGGACGGCUAACUACGUG